GGGGAUGUGGUUUAGUGGUACAAUGCUUCCUUAGCAUGGAAGAGGUCCCGAGUUCGAUUCUUGGCGUCUCCA
rnacentral:tRNA from 4 species